UGGGGGAUAUUGGACAAUGGGGGGAACCCUGAUCCAGCGACGCCGCGUGAGUGAAGAAGUAUUUCGGUAUGUAAAGCUCUAUCAGCAGGGAAGUAAAGAAAUGACGGUACCUGAGUAAGAAGCCCCGGCUAACUACGUGCC
rnacentral:rRNA from 1 species